GUGCUCGCUUCAGCAGCACAUAUACUAAAAUUGUAACGAUACAGAGAUUAGCAUGGCCCCUGCGCAAGGAUGACAUGUAAAUUCAUGAUGUGUUUCAUAUUUUA